rnacentral:rRNA from 1 species
AUUGAACGCUGGCGGCAGGCCUAACACAUGCAAGUCGAGCGGAUGAAGGGAGCUUGCUCCUGGAUUCAGCGGCGGACGGGUGAGUAAUGCCUAGGAAUCUGCCUGGUAGUGGGGGAUAACGUCCGGAAACGGGCGCUAAUACCGCAUACGUCCUGAGGGAGAAAGUGGGGGAUCUUCGGACCUCACGCUAUCAGAUGAGCCUAGGUCGGAUUAGCUAGUUGGUGGGGUAAAGGCCUACCAAGGCGACGAUCCGUAACUGGUCUGAGAGGAUGAUCAGUCACCCGGGAACUGAACCGGGGCCAAGCUCCCGCGGGGGGGCGGCGGGGGGGAUUGUUGGACAAGGGGCAAAGCCUUGAUCCAGCCGUCCGGGGUGUGGAAGGAGGGUUUUGGGUUUGAAAGCAUUUUUAUGUGGGGAGAAAGGACAUUAAUUUAAUCCCUUCUUUUUUGCCCUUUCCCAAAAAAAAAACCCCCGGCUACCUUCGUC